rnacentral:lncRNA from 1 species
GGAUUCUUCUCAUCAGCCCCUACUCCAAACUUCUCCAGCCCAGGGGCUGGGCAGCCAUUCCCUCAUGCACCCUUCCCUAUAUAAUCCAGCCAUUUUGGUUACCUGGCCCUUUUGGUCUGCCCUUUACCCUCCUGGCCUCUUGAUCUCCUGGUCUCCUGGCUCUCCUUGCCUCCUCCACUUUCCUCACAUGGCCCCUGCUCAGCUACUCUUUUUCUAAAGGAAGAAGAAGAAGAAGAAGAAGAAGAAGAAGAAGAAGAAGAAGAAGAAGAAGAAGAAGAAAUGAAAGAAAGAAAUAGAGAGAGAGAAAGAAAGAAAGAAAGAGAGAGAGAGAGAGAAAGAAAGAAAGAAAGAAAGAAAGAAAGAAAGAAAGAAAGAAAGAAAGAAAAUUACUUUUCAAGUCUUAGUAUCAUGUAUAAUCUGGCUAUUUGGGGAGGAAAAGGUAAAACUGAGAAGGGGAUAAGACAAGGAAUUCUAUUUCUAGCUAGCUGGGAACUCAUUUUAUCUUCUCAAUGGGUGGGGGCAUGCUAUCCUGUAGAGUCCUGUUUAUAUUUCAAAUAACAAAACACUCCUUCCUUGGAAAAAAAAUCUUGCAAUUGUGGUGCCUGUCUAUAAAUUUUAAAACCCAGGAAACUGAGGCAGGGGGAAUUAUGAGUAUGAAAUCAGCCAGAACCAAUUUAUCUGCAUUAAUUUUGUGUCUCUAACAGGAUAAUUUAUACUUAAUACUUUUUACUUAAAUUGAAGAUGUUUGUUGGGGGUUGGUCUUGUGUACUGUGUACUCAGAUCCUGAUUUGGUAUGCAGUCUGGAAGAUUGCAGGCUCAAGCAUCGCUAGCCUCAAUGUUAGGUAAAAAUUAUUUUCCAUCAUCUCUGAUUGGUCAAUAAAGAGAUGACUCAGCCUAUGACUAGGCAGAAGAGAUAGGAAGGCUGAACUUCUGACACCAACCAGGGGUCCCAGGUACAAAGAGAAGUAAGAGAAGGAUCAUGAGGAAAGAAGGUAAAGAGGCAAUGUGGAGAGAGCAUGAGGCAGAGGGUCCAGGAGGAGUUGUGAUGAGUAGGUCACAAUGAGAGAGCAGACAUGAGGACACAUAUGGGCCAGAGCAACAGGGUAAGACUCAGAUUGAAGAUAAAGGACCAUAUGGCUGGGAAAUAGAUAGCUUAGAGGGUUAGAAAGAUGCUCACCUGCCCACUCAUAGUGCUUAAAACUUAUUAAAAAGUUUACUAAAUCUCUAUGUCAGUUACUUAGAAGCUAGAAUGGGAAUGCAUAAGACUAUCAUCCUUAAGUUACUGUCUACAUUUGGUUUUUGGUUUUUGUUUUUACAGAUUUCUAGGCUGAGAAUUCUAAAAUUAAUCCUCUAGGGAGGACCCAAGAUCAACUGAUGACUCUAGGGAGGACCAAGGAUCAAUCCAUGACUCUAGGGAGGAUCUAAGAACAACUGAUGACUCUAAGGAGGAUCCAAAAUCAAGUGAUGGUUCUAGAAAAGGUCCAAAAUCAAUAAAUGGCUCUAGGGAGGAUCCAGGAUCAAUUGAUGACUCUAGGAAGGAUCCAAGAACAACUGAUAACUAACUCUAAGGAGGAUCCAAAAUCAAUUGAUGGCUCUAGGGAGGAUCCAGGAUCAAUUGAUGACUCUAGGAAGGAUCCAAGAACAACUGAUAACUAACUCUAAGGAGGAUCCAAAAUCAAUUGAUGGCUCUAGGGAGGAUCCAAGAUCAAUUAAGGAGUUUAGGGGAGGCAGACCAAGGAUCAAUCCAUAACUCUAGAGAGGAUCAAGGAUCAACUAUUGAUUCUAGGGAGCAUGCAAUAUUAAUUGAUGACUCUAAAGAGGAUGUAAUAUCAAAUGAUAGGAGGAUGUAAUAUAAAUUGAUGACUCUAGGGAGGAUCCAAUAUCAAUUGAAGGGGGACUCUGGG